UACGUAGGGUGCAAGCGUUAAUCGGAAUUACUGGGCGUAAAGCGUGCGCAGGCGGUUUUGUAAGACUGUCGUGAAAUCCCCGGGCUUAACCUGGGAAUGGCGAUGGUGACUGCAAGGCUAGAGUUUGGCAGAGGGGGGUAGAAUUCCACGUGUAGCAGUGAAAUGCGUAGAGAUGUGGAGGAACGCCGAUGGCGAAGGCAGCCCCCUGGGUCAAAACUGACGCUCAUGCACGAAAGCGUGGGGAGCAAACAGG
rnacentral:rRNA from 1 species